GACAGAGGGUGCAAACGUUGUUCGGAAUUACUGGGCGUAAAGCGCGUGUAGGCGGUCCGGUAAGUCCGCUGUGAAAGUCGGGGGCUCAACCCUCGGAUGCCGGUGGAUACUGUCGGGCUUGAGUACGGAAGAGGCGAGUGGAAUUCCCGGUGUAGCGGUGAAAUGCGCAGAUAUCUGGAGGAAUACCGGUGGCGAAGGCGGCAUCCUGGACCGAGAUUGACACUGAUGAGCGAAAGCUAGGGGAGCAAACGGG
rnacentral:rRNA from 1 species